GGGGUUGUGGCUCAGUGGUAGAGUGCUCAUCCCGCACGUGAGAGACCCGGGUUCGAUCCUCGGCAACACAU
rnacentral:tRNA from 1 species